rnacentral:rRNA from 1 species
UACGGGGGGGGCAAGCGUUGUUCGGAAUUACUGGGCGUAAAGGGCUCGUAGGCGGCCAACUAAGUCAGACGUGAAAUCCCUCGGCUUAACCGGGGAACUGCGUCUGAUACUGUCGGGCUAGAGUGCGGAAGAGGCGAGUGGAAUUCCUGGUGUAGCGGUGAAAUGCGCAGAUAUCAGGAGGAACACCAAUUGCGAAGGCAGCUCGCUGGGACGUUACUGACGCUGAGACGCGAAAGCGUGGGGAGCGAACAGG